GUGGACUGGAGAGAUGGCCCAGAGGUUAA
rnacentral:piRNA from 1 species